GGCUUGUUUCGAUAUUCCACCUAUUAUUAUGGGCCUUGGUUGCGUUUAGAUGACCUCGCAUCUGCGUGGUGACUUCAGGAAACUAUUCAGUCAUGUCAAACUGAGGCUUCCAAUAGUCAACACCGGUGAAACAACGUCAUCUCGGUUAUUGACUUCAGAUACAUCGAGCAAUACGGAACAUUUGAACAAGACUGUAGCUUACCCGAGCUCCGAGCCACUACAAUUCCAUUUGACUUUAGUCAUACCGGCUGGAAUAUAAUAUAGAAUUCUGGCUGUCUAAGAGACAAGUAUUUAAA